rnacentral:lncRNA from 1 species
CGGAAAUGUGCGCAUGAUUAUUGAAUCGAUAGAUUAGUCAUACAUUACUAUAAUAGAACUCCAAGUUCUUCAUUGAUCGUCUCAAAUAUAGCUCUUAACAUCAGCAAAUGUAUAGCUAUUUAGUGCCGACUCGUUUUUAUACCUACUGUCUCUUGGGCGCUCCAAUAUCUAUAGCUCCAUUGCUUUUGUCUGGUUACCAGCACAGCGUCAGAAAAGACGGAGGUCUCAAAUGUGUUCUGGUAACGUUAGUCCUUUUCGGAGGUCCAGUUUACCUGAUGCCGAGACUCUAAAUGCCUUUUCAUGCCACUGGUGCUACCUCCUUUACAUCUGAUAUUCCGGUCGCAGUGUUUACAUUUUGCCAGUGCAGCUUCUAUUCUGUCGAAGCUGUGCCACACAGCGGAACCAAAGCUGGGUGAACUUGGUGUAGACAUUGUGAAUGAAGAGAACAAAUAAACAACCAAAACGGCAGAGUAACCUACGGGUUAUCUUCACUAAAAGAGCUGCGUGAAUGUGAGCGCAGAUACUGUAUAUAAUGACGAGAUGGUUUUGUCUCCGCCCUAACAAUGGAAAUCGUUGUCCCAAAGACGGGAAUGUAGUCGGUUUAUCGCUGUAUUCCCGCGGACAGAUUUUGACGGGAAUGAACCCUCUCGCUUCGUCUCUUCCUCUCUGGUCGCUUUAACGGAGAACGGACGCGACCACCUGUACUAAUUAGCUAUCUAGCGCCUACUCUGGAAGUGCAGUUCGUUGGAUGGAGGCACCCAGACCUGUAUGGAUCUAUUCAAAUCUGCUACACUUCCCAGGCAACCACAGCAGCAGGAUUGUUUUGAUUAAAAAUCAGCUUUCCCAAGGCAAAGAAGGGGGAUAUGCUGUGAAACCUGUGAAGACAGACCCAACAUACUGCUACGGAGAAGGGCUCCUGGAUCUCCUCUUUAACGAGGUCACCCUUGAUCGAGCACCGCAUAUGUGGAAGCUGUGCUAGCUGUACGUCCCAGGACCCCUGUCGGCCCAGUGUGAGAGGCCUGCGCUGUACGUCCCAGGACCCCUGUCGGCCCAGUGUGAGAGGCCUGCGCUGUACGUCCCAGGACCCCUGUCGGCCCAGUGUGAGAGGCCUGCGCUGUACAUCCCAGGACCCCUGCCGGCCCAGUGUGAGAGGCCUGCGCUGUACGUCCCAGGACCCCUGUCGGCCCAGUGUGAGAGGCCUGCGCUGUACGUCCCAGGACCCCUGUCGGCCCAGUGUGAGAGGCCUGCGCUGUACAUCCCAGGACCCCUGCCGGCCCAGUGUGAGAGGCCUGCGCUGUACGUCCCAGGACCCCUGUCGGUCCAGUGUGAGAGGCCUGCGCUGUACGUCCCAGGACCCCUGUCGGCCCAGUGUGAGAGGCCUGCGCUGUACGUCCCAGGACCCCUGUCGGCCCAGUGUGAGAGGCCUGCGCUGUACAUCCCAGGACCCCUGCCGGCCCAGUGUGAGAGGCCUGCGCUGUACGUCCCAGGACCCCUGUCGGCCCAGUGUGAGAGGCCUGCGCUGUACGUCCCAGGACCCCUGUCGGCCCAGUGUGAGAGGCCUGCGCUGUACAUCCCAGGACCCCUGCCGGCCCAGUGUGAGAGGCCUGCGCUGUACGUCCCAGGACCCCUGUCGGUCCAGUGUGAGAGGCCUGCGCUGUACGUCCCAGGACCCCUGUCGGCCCAGUGUGAGAGGCCUGCGCUGUACGUCCCAGGACCCCUGUCGGCCCAGUGUGAGAGGCCUGCGCUGUACGUCCCAGGACCCCUGCCGGCCCAGUGUGAGAGGCCUGCGCUGUACGUCCCAGGACCCCUGUCGGUCCAGUGUGAGAGGCCUGCGCUGUACGUCCCAGGACCCCUGUCGGCCCAGUGUGAGAGGCCUGCGCUGUACGUCCCAGGACCCCUGUCGGUCCAGUGUGAGAGGCCUGCGCUGUACGUCCCAGGACCCCUGUCGGUCCAGUGUGAGAGGCCUGCGCUGUACGUCCCAGGACCCCUGUCGGUCCAGUGUGAGAGGCCUAACGAGGAGGCGGCCAUAGCUGAUUUGUCUCCCACUUCAAUCUUGGGGGUGACUGAAGCCUGCUUGAUUCAAGCGGGGUAUACGGGUCCCCAUCAAUCUCUGUAGGUGGUUGAGUUUUCUAAAGUCAAAGUCAUAUCACGUAAACGUGAAUUACAUCACACUUUGUAUUGUUUCUUCAAGCAUUCGGACAGGAGAGCAGUGUUACAAAUUGUAUGAGUCAAGGGGUUCUGCACACUGUUGGGUGGCCGGUGCCUAUAUAAGGUAUAUGGCUCUAAUAUAUUUUUUUAAUGUCAAAUGAUGUCUCACCAUUAUUUCGCACCUUCAUUUAUGGUGAUCAAUAUUUUGGUUGUGCUGGCCUAAUUGUAAAUGAUCAAACUAAUGUCUGAUCAAUACAUACAAUUCUGAACAUGUUAUUUAUAAUGCUAAUGAAGAGGCACCAAUACAUUGUCCAGUACACUGAUUAUAUGCUGUUUUCAUAUACAUUCCCUUAUGGCUAAGGUGUCUUGAGCUUUACUAAUUCUUGUGAAGAAGUGUAUCAGUGAAAUGUAUUCUGUAAUUAGUUACAAAACAAUAGUCUGACUAAACUUCAUAUGGAGAAAAGGAAUGCUGUAGUCUAUGUUGGAAACAUAAGACUUUGUUAUUGGACUAAUAUGCAUAAACACAGUGCAACUGUACACCUAGAAUAUGUAAACAUGACACGUCAAGAACAUGAGCCAGUUCUGUUGGCCAUGAGAGCAUUUUGCAGAGAAAAUGGGUUGAGCCUUACAAUUUAGGUUAGGAUUGUUUACCUUGUUACCAGGCAACGACCACAAGGGCGUUUCAAAGAGCUCUCAGUCAAGGCGAGCUCAUGAAUAUAAGCUCUCCGCCCAGUCAGCCCCUGUUCUUUCAGGCUUCCUGACUGUGAGAGAAUGUACCAUUUCUUCAAUUCUGAGCAUUUUAAUGGUGUACAAAUAUUAUGGGUGAUGUUUUGGUCAUGUAAAGGCUAUUUUUACUUGGGGAAAUAGGAUGAUUAUGUGGGACGUUUUUGUAGAAAUAGGCGGGGUUUAGGGUCGUUGACACAAAGUCCUUUUUAAUAUAAAAAAACAGACAAUGCUGACAGAGAAUUUCUGAUUUCUUAAAGAAAAUAGUGAGGUAAUAAACAGUAUCUUUAUAAAUGAUUGUAAAGCAAUAAAUAAAGACUAUACACUGGAUUCUGAGUUAUUAACAAAAGGAUGAAAGUUCACAGUACACAUGGAGAAAUGCCCGUAAAAUGACUAGCCUACAUCCGAAGUCAUGUUUAAUUCAUGUGAAGGGACAGCCUAUAUCCAAAGUCAUGUUUAAUACAUGUGAAGGGACAGCCUAUAUCCGAAGUCAUGUUUAAUACAUGUGAAGGGACAGCCUAUAUCCGAAGUCAUGUUUAAUACAUGUGUGAAGGGACAGCCUACAUCCGAAGUCAUGUUUAAUACAUGUGUGAAGGGACAGCCUACAUCCGAAGUCAUGUUUAAUACAUGUGUGAAGGGACAGCCUACAUCCGAAGUCAUGUUUAAUACAUGUGUGAAGGGACAGCCUAUAUCCGAAGUCAUGUUUAAUACAUGUGUGAAGGGACAGCCUAUAUCCGAAGUCAUGUUUAAUACAUGUGUGAAGGGAGAGCCGGUGGAAUGGAUGAAAAAGGGAUCUCAUAAAGUUAUUUGACGAGGACAACCAACAGUGAAUACUGUGACUUCUCUGUCUGAAUCCCAGGAGGUUGGAGGCACCUUAAUUGGGGAGGACAAGGCUCAUAGUAAUGGCUGGAAUGGAAUGAAUGGUUUCCAUGCAUUUGAUACUAUUCCAUUCACUACAUUCCAGGCCUUUUUAUGAGUAGUCCUCCCCUCAGCAGCCUCCUGUGGUCUGAGUGAUACAAAGCUAAUGUUGCAGGAGAGGGUAAGCUAAUUAAGAGGACAAGAGGGAGGAUGGCCAAGCAAGGGAGAAAGAGUAGAGCGAGAUUACAUUACAGAGAUAGAAAUAUGUAGAAUAACGUCUUUACCAAAGUACAUAACUAGUCAUUCACAUCCCUCAGCUUUCAAAUAAACAGUAACUCCUCACUGUCCAACAGGCAGCUUUCAAAUAAACAGUAACUCCUCACUGUCCAACAGGCAGCUUUCAAAUAAACAGUAACUCCUCACUGUCCAACAGGCAGCUUUCAAAUAAACAGUAACUCCUCACUGUCCAACACGCAGCUUUCAAAUAACAGUAACUCCUCACUGUCCAACAGGCAGCUUUCAAAUAAACAGUAACUCCUCACUGUCCAACAGGCAGCUUUCAAAUAAACAGUAACUCC